UACGUAGGGUGCGAGCGUUAAUCGGAAUUACUGGGCGUAAAGCGUGCGCAGGCGGUUCAUUAAGUUCGAUGUGAAAGCCCCGGGCUCAACCUGGGAACUGCAUUGGAAACUGGCGGGCUUGAGUGUGGCAGAGGGGGGUGGAAUUCCACGUGUAGCAGUGAAAUGCGUAGAGAUGUGGAGGAACACCGAUGGCGAAGGCAGCCCACUGGGCUAACACUGACGCUCAGGCACGAAAGCGUGGGGAGCAAACAGG
rnacentral:rRNA from 1 species